rnacentral:rRNA from 1 species
GGUUUCCCUUUACGAAUUGUAGUUUAAAGAAGUGUUUUCUGUUGAGGUUUUGGUAAAAGUUCUUUGGAAUAGGACAUCAUAGAGGGUGAGAAAUCCCCGUAUUUGACCUUUACUUUCAACUUUGUGAUACACUUUCAAAGAGUCGGAUUGUUUGGGAAUGCAGUCCAAAAUGGGUGGUAAAUUUCAUCUAAAGCUAAAUAUUGGCGAGAGACCGAUAGCGAACAAGUACCGUGAGGGAAAGAUGAAAAGAACUUUGAAAAGAGAGUUAAACAGUACGUGAAAUUGUCAAAAGGGAAGCGUUUGACACCAGUGUUGUUUUUCUGAAAAUCAAUUAAAGAACUGUUUAUGCUAAGCUGUUUAGACUUUAUCAGCUAUCUGUUUAGUUUUGAGCUUUUCUUU